GGGGCUAUAGUGUAGCUUGGUCCAUCAUGUGUGGUUUGGGACCAUACGACCCCGGUUCAAAUCCGGGUAGCCCCA
rnacentral:tRNA from 1 species